rnacentral:rRNA from 1 species
AGGACGAACGCUGGCGGCGUGCUUAACACAUGCAAGUCGAGCGAGGCCCUUCCUUCGGGAAGGUGCCCUAGCGGCGAACGGGUGAGUAACACGUGGGCAACCUGCCCCUAGCACUGGGAUAACUCCGGGAAACCGGGGCUAAUACCAGAUAUGACCUUCUUGGGCAUCCUCGAAGGUGUAAAGGAUUCUGGCUAGGGAUGGGCCCGCGGCCUAUCAGCUUGUUGGUGGGGUAAUGGCCUACCAAGGCGACGACGGGUAGCCGGCCUGAGAGGGUGACGGGCCAACGACUGGGACUGAGACACGGCCCAGACUCCUACGGGAGGCAGCAGUGGGGAAUCUUGCACAAUGGGCGAAAGCCUGAUGCAGCGACGCCGCGUGAGGGAUGAAUGCCUUCGGGUUGUAAACCUCUUUCAGCAGGGACGAAGCGAAAGUGACGGUACCUGCAGAAGAAGCACCGGCCAACUACGUGCCAGCAGCCGCGGU